GAUGAACGCUGGCGGCGUGCCUAAUACAUGCAAGUCGAGCGAACGGACGAGAAGCUUGCUGCUCUGAUGUUAGCGGCGGACGGGUGAGUAACAGGUGGAUAACCUACCUAUAAGACUUGGAUAACGUCGGGAAACCGGAGCUAAUACCGGAUAAUAUUUUUAACCGCAUGGUUCAAAAGUUAAAGACGGUCUUGCUGUCACUUAUAGAUGGAUCCGCGCUGCAUUAGCUAGUUGGUAAGGUAACGGCUUACCAAGGCAACGAUGCAUAGCCGACCUGAGAGGGUGAUCGGCCACACUGGAACUGAGACACGGACCAGACUCCUAAGGGAGGCAGCAGUAGGGAAUCUUCCGCAAUGGGCGAAAGCCUGACGGAGCAACGCAGCGUGAGUGAUGAAGGUCUUCGGAUCGUAAAACUCUGUUAUUAGGGAAGAACAUAUGUGUAAGUAACUGUGCACAUCUUGACGGUACCUAAUCAGAAAGCCACGGCUAACUACGUG
rnacentral:rRNA from 1 species